rnacentral:rRNA from 1 species
CGACCCGCGAAUAAGUUCUUACGUUUUGGGGCGAGGAUGGCUCGAAACGAAUCUGACUCCUGCCUCGGUGCAUUGCAUCGUGUCGGCGAGUGUAUUCGAUAAGUCAUAACGACUCUCGGCAACGGAUAUCUCGGCUCUCGCAUCGAUGAAGAACGUAGCAAAAUGCGAUACGUGGUGUGAGUUGCAGGAUCCCGUGAACCAUCGAGUUUUUGAACGCAAGUUGCGCCCGAAGCCUUUAGGCCGAGGGCACGUCUGCCUGGGCGUCACGCACCGUUGCCCCCCAAACCCCCUCAGUCCUCCACGGAGGAUUGGCGAGGCGCGUGGGGGGCGUAAAGUGGCUUCCCGUCGGCUUUGUCCCGCGGUUGGCCUAAAAAUGAAUCCCUAGCCGCGGUGCGCGCGGCAUUCGGUGGUCAUCGAUCCCUUUCGUUACCCCGCCGCGCGCUCACGUGCCGCGAAGGAUGUCACACUAGUAAACCCGACGCCUCGCUUUGUGAAGAGCGGAGCUUACAACGCGACCCCAGGUCAGGCGGGGCUACCCGCUGAA